rnacentral:rRNA from 1 species
AUGAACGCUGGCGGCGUGCCUAAUCCAUGCAAGUCGCGCGAACAGACGAGGAGCUUGCUCCUCUGACGUUAGCGGCGGACGGGUGAGUAACACGUGGAUAACCUACCUAUAAGACUGGGAUAACUUCGGGAAACCGGAGCUAAUACCGGAUAAUAUAUUGAACCGCAUGGUUCGAUAGUGAAAGACGGUUUUGCUGUCACUUAUAGAUGGAUCCGCGCCGCAUUAGCUAGUUGGUAAGGUAACGGCUUACCAAGGCAACGAUGCGUAGCCGACCUGAGAGGGUGAUCGGCCACACUGGAACUGAGACACGGUCCAGACUCCUACGGGAGGCAGCAGUAGGGAAUCUUCCGCAAUGGGCGAAAGCCUGACGGAGCAACGCCGCGUGAGUGAUGAAGGUCUUCGGAUCGUAAAACUCUGUUAUUAGGGAAGAACAAAUGUGUAAGUAACUAUGCACGUCUUGACGGUACCUAAUCAGAAAGCCACGGCUAACUACGUG